CUAUUGACACAGUCUUGAAACUUUCCGGUCGCACCUCGUACAUAACUUUAAAAACGCCUAGAACAUGCCGCGAGGUAUUAAAUAGGCUAUAUUCUAGCGUGUAAAUGUUUGAGAAACUCCGAGUUAGUCUUCAAAGGCGUAUAUUUGCACUUACAUCUCUAAAAUAGUAAGCCUCAACCUUCGCUUUUAAAUUAAGAGGAUAUUUAGAUUGCAGGCACUUGUUUGGAAGUAAGAUAGUAUCAAAUUUACCGUUGGAAACUCGCGGUGUUAAUACGUUUUGGACACAAUAAAAACAUAACACAGGUUUACGCGUGCUUAAAAUGUUCGUUCAUGUGCACGACUCUUAAAAUAUUCGCAGCAGCAGCUUCACUUUUUUUUCUAACCGUCUGCUGCUAAUUUUAAAUCCCAUAUUGAGAGUUAAUAAUCUGUGCUUUUGCGUAGUCGGAUUGGCCAGAACGAAAGGCAAGUGCAUGCUUGUUGAUGACUACACCGACUACGUACUAGCCAGAGAUUUCUUUCUUCCCCCACCACGAAAUAUUGAAUUAGUUCACUCAGUUCCCGCAUUCUCCGGUGUGCUGUGGCGCAACUAGUUGUGUGGUAAUUGGGCGGAAUAUCAACAGGCAGAAACGUGCAUUUAAAGUGAAACUGUGUUAGUCCUGUGCGCUGGAACUUUUGGAUGGACGGAGUUCAAUUCCCCUUCAUCGCCACGUCAGGCACCCAACCAUCCUCCUAUCCGAUGGUUAACGGGAGCUCUCUCAAGAGGGUGAAGAGGCAAGAACAUGAAACUCUCCACUCAACUGAACCUGAGGUGAAGCAGCGAGUCACUUUGUCAUUUCAACGAUAAGCGUAGGAAUUUUGGAGUGUUCCACUCGGUUCUCCGAUUUCGCUGGUAUAUUUCUAGUCAGUGAUGGCCAGUUUGUGUGCAGGGUGCCACUUUUAAUUACACUUCAGUCUGACGUCCAAAACAAUAGAAUGUAGGGCUACGCAGUCAUCGUCUAGUCCCGUGUUCCACAACUGGUGUGCCACCACAAGGUUUCAGGAGUUCCGCG